rnacentral:ribozyme from 1 species
AACACUGUCACUUUUAUUAUGCCACUUGUUAAUCAUCAAAUUAGCUCCGUUGUUUAUUUUUUUCCAAAAUUCUCUUGAAGUGUGUGUGGUUAUAAUAAUAACAGGAAGAAAUCUCAAAAGUAGUCGUGAGGAUGGAGAAAAAACACUCAUCUUGAUUUU